rnacentral:misc_RNA from 1 species
GAUGAAGAACGUAGCGAAAUGCGAUACUUGGUGUGAAUUGCAGAAUCCCGUGAACCAUCGAGUCUUUGAACGCAAGUUGCGCCCGAAGCCAUUAGGCCGAGGGCACGCCUGCCAGGGCGUCACACGUCGUUGCCCCCCCAUCUACUCCUUCGGGAUUGCGGGGGGCGGAUGAUGGCCUCCCGUGCGCCUCGCCGCGCGGUUGGCAUAAAUGCCAAGUCCUCGGCGACGCACGCCACGACAAUCGGUGGUUGCGAAACCUCGGUUGCCCGUCGUGUGCGGUCGUCGCGCAUCGAGGGCUCGAAAAAAUUGCCGGGUUCCGGCUCGGCUUUCAACGCGACCCCAGGUCAGGCGGGGUUACCCGCUGAAUUUAAGCAUAUCAAUAAGCGGAGGA